UACGAACUGUGCAAACGUUAUUCGGAAUCACUGGGCUUAAAGGGUGCGUAGGCGGCCUGUCAAGUAGGGUGUGAAAGCCCCCGGCUCAACCGGGGAAUGGCGCCCUAAACUGGCGGGCUGGAGUGAGAUAGGGGUGUGCGGAACUUCCAGUGGAGCGGUGAAAUGUGUUGAUAUUGGAAGGAACGCCUGUGGCGAAAGCGGCACACUGGGUCUCAACUGACGCUGAGGCACGAAAGCCAGGGGAGCAAACGGG
rnacentral:rRNA from 1 species